UACGUAGGUCGCAAGCGUUGUCCGGAUUUACUGGGCGUAAAGAGCGCGCAGGCGGCUGGUCAAGUCCGAUGUGAAAUCUCCCGGCUCAACUGGGAAACUGCAUCGGAAACUGAUCGGCUUGAAGAUGGGAGAGGGUAGUGGAAUUCCCGGUGUAGCGGUGAAAUGCGUAGAUAUCAGGAGGAACACCGGUGGUGUAGACGGCUUACUGGACCACGACUGACACUGAGGCACGAAAGCGUGGGUAGCAAACAGG
rnacentral:rRNA from 1 species